rnacentral:rRNA from 1 species
AUUGAACGCUGGCGGCAUGCCUUACACAUGCAAGUCGAACGGCAGCACGGGAGCAAUCCUGGUGGCGAGUGGCGAACGGGUGAGUAAAGUAUCGGAACGUGCCCAGUCGUGGGGGGUAACGUAGCGAAAGUUACGCUAAUACCGCAUACGAUCUAUGGAUGAAAGCGGGGGAUCGCAAGACCCCGCGCGAUUGGAGCGGCCGAUAUCAGAUUAGGUAGUUGGUGGGGUAAAGGCCCCCCAAGCCGACGAUCUGUAGCUGGUCUGAGAGGACGACCAGCCACACUGGGACGGAGACACGGCCCAGACUCCUACGGGAGGCAGCAGUGGGGAAUUUUGGACAAUGGGCGAAAGCCUGAUCCAGCCAUGCCGCGUGCAGGAUGAAGGCCUUCGGGUUGUAAACUGCUUUUGUACGGAACGAAAAGGACUGCCCUAAUACGGUGGUCCCAUGACGGUACCGUAAGAAUAAGCACCGGCUAACUACGUGCCAGCCGCCGCGGUAAGAC